rfam:Colletotrichum gloeosporioides Cg-14 contig01814, whole genome shotgun sequence.
GGCCGGUUGGCCCAAUGGCAAGGCGUCUGACUACGAUUCAAUCGUGACAUCAGGAGAUUCUGGGUUCGACCCCCAGGCUGGUCA